AGGCGACAUGGUUUCACAGUGAUGCCUUGCUCCAUUUGGAGACUGGACUGGAGGCUUGUGGAGGCAUUUCAGAUCCUGUCAGCAACCUGGAGAGGGAAAAAUCAUCAUUAGCUGGAGCAGGAGGCAGCAGCAUCUAAUGUGGAUACUGUAAGCUGGGAAACAUGGUGGAUGCUCUGGUAAAGCUGGAGAGAUCAUCGUAAGAGACUUGUGGUACUGACUACAUCUGAGACCAAGACUGAUGCACACUCAGCACUCAUCAUACUUAUUUCGGCCUACAUCUUGAUAUCCAGGAAGGUUU
rnacentral:lncRNA from 1 species